GUCUACGGCCAUACCUAGGCGAAAACACCAGUUCCCGUCCGAUCACUGCAGUUAAGCGUCUGAGGGCCUCGUUAGUACUAUGCUUGGAGACAACAUGGGAAUCCGCGGUGCUGUAGGCU
rnacentral:rRNA from 1 species